ACAAACAGUUAACUGUGUUAAGGGAGCUGCCACUAAUCGCUGUCAUGGAAACUGAGAGGGGAGUGAAUUGCAAGAAGCAGCCUGGAAGAGAAGUCCAUAGGGACCGAGGAUUCAAGUUGAGAAGAGCCAGGGCAAGGUCAAGAUACAGGCAGGGGGGAGCUGUCAGGUCAGGAGACAGAGGCCAACCAGGGGUAGGUCACCCUUGCAAGGUCCAGAGGGUAAUCAGUGAUGAAGCCGGGCCUCAGUCCAGCGGUGCAGGGUCCAGUCAUUUACCCAGUGGACCGUCCUUCGUGUCUUCUUCCGGAGAACCCUGGAACUCAGGGAUUCGCACUCUGUCUUGCAGUCCUCGCUCUGCUGUCACGGCCUUCUCCCAGGCAGGCUGGGUACUCCCUAUGGUGCGGUGGCAGCCCAGCUUUACGCCUGGACUCCCACUGCACCCGAAGCAGGGCUUUGGGGAACGGCUGGCGUGGAGUUAAACCUGCAGUGAGGAUUCUGUUCAGACACUUGAUGACACCUGCAUCUUUGGGUCUUCCUCCAUGUGGGAGACACAGCACGGAGGCACGCAGACCCAGACAAGGCAGGCAAAACCCGGUCACCAGCUGUUGACAUCUGACUACUCUCCCUUCCUCUCCGCUCUGCAGGGCUCCUGCAGUCCACCUUUUUUUGAACCUGACUGGGAAUGGUUGGACACAGGGAUUGCAUAGCAUAUUUUGUCCCUAGGCUCCCCAAGAGCUGCCUCAGCCCUCAAAAGGGCUUAUCUCUGGAAGUUCUUGAAGCAUGGUUGUUAUCUGAACCCCUUGGCUCUGGAGUCCAGCACCCACAUUUCACAGAGGAGAAACCCAAGGCCCAGAAUGGCUAGGGGUUGGGCCCAGAGUGGUCACGAGUCAGGGGACCCAGGUCCUCUGACACCUUCUCCAAGCGGCUCUCUGAUGGUCACUAAGGCCUUCGGUCCACAGGCAACGAAUGGGGCUGAGUGAGGUGACAUGUGAGGUGACAGGCACAUGGUCCAAGGACUUGACCUUUGCUUCUAAGCACUCUUCCUGGGUUAGCACACAGCUUCGCUUCUAAGUCCGUUAACCAGAGGUGAACACACUUCUCUGAAUACCCAAUGGGCUGUGAAGUGUGCCCAAAGCCCAUAAAAAUAUAAUUCAGGUCAUAAAUUUAAUACAGCCGGGGUGAAUGACUGUAAUAGCUCUGUUUUUAACCACUUAAUUAGCAAUGGUUUCAUUUGAUUUUUUUUGUUUUGUUUUGGAUUUAAAGGGUUUUUUAAAGAAGAAUUCUCAAGAUCCAUUGUUUUCGAUGUCAAGAAACGCAAAGCUAUUCAAAGAGUUCUGAACAGUUGCCUUUCUCCAAAUCUCACCCAAGAGUAAAGCCUGUGCUUGUUUUAGAUGGUUUUUAUAAGAAGUUCAUUGCUAGACAGAGCAGCAGGGAUUGCUCAAAUUUAG